rnacentral:rRNA from 1 species
AUUGAACGCUGGCGGCAUGCCUUACACAUGCAAGUCGAACGGCAGCACGGGUGCUUGCACCUGGUGGCGAGUGGCGAACGGGUGAGUAAUACAUCGGAACAUGUCCUGUAGUGGGGGAUAGCCCGGCGAAAGCCGGAUUAAUACCGCAUACGAUCUCCGGAUGAAAGCGGGGGACCGUCGGGCCUCGCGCUUUAGGGUUGGCCGAUGGCUGAUUAGCUAGUUGGUGGGGUAAAGGCCUACCAAGGCGACGAUCAGUAGCUGGUCUGAGAGGACGACCAGCCACACUGGAACUGAGACACGGCCCAGACUCCUACGGGAGGCAGCAGUGGGGAAUUUUGGACAAAGGGCGAAAGCCUGAUCCAGCAAUGCCGCGUGUGUGAAGAAGGCCUUCGGGUUGUAAAGCACUUUUGUCCGGAAAGAAAUCCUUGGCUCUAAUACAGUCGGGGGAUGACGGUACCGGAAGAAUAAGCACCGGCUAACUACGUG